rnacentral:lncRNA from 10 species
CCUCAGCUUGCAGACAGCCUAUUGUGGGACCUCGUGAUCAUGCAUCUGUGUGCACCAAUGCAGAAAAGACGGGGACUACAAGGAAGGAAAAUGUUGCAUCAGGAAGGGCUGCUGGCACAUCUUUGUUCCCCCUCCCCAAAACCUCAUCCCCAAGCAGGGCCUAGGGGAUGCCAAAUUCCAGGGUCCAGAAAGAGCUUGGGAUAAAAUGAAACUUCAAGGGGACGGCUUUGACCUGGGCUGAGUCUGUCUGUGCCAUCCAACUGGAGUCUCAAGUCCUGAGGCAGGACGUCCAGAUGCCCCAGUGCAGGGCCCUCCUGAUCAACACCUGCUCCCCUGUACUCAUUAGCAACCUCACCCACCCUACUCUCAAAGCACACUUGGCUCUCGUAUCCAGGAGCUCUGCAUCUAUAGAUUCAGCAACAGCAGAUGGAAAAUAUUCAGAAAAUAAAUUGGAUGGUUAUGUUUCUAUU